rnacentral:lncRNA from 1 species
AUUUUAGGUCUCACUGGUAUGAUCUCAUUAUGGUCCUAAAAUUAUUGCCCUAAUCUAUAGAGUUUAUCAUAAUCAUAAAAAUAUGAUGCAUCAAAUAAUAAAAUACUAUAUCUCAUAAAUAAAAUAACUAAUGUCAUGCAAAUGAAUAGGAAGAUAUCACAGAAAAGUCUCUUCGUAUCACCAUGCAUUGGCUUGUAGAGCACUAUUCUUUCAAGA